ensembl:lncRNA
UUUCCCGGUUUUGAGGCUACAAGACAGCAGAGCUCUGCUUCCCCUGCUUGGUGCUGAGGCUGACUGAAGGCACUGGAGUUAAUGUGAGGGACAGCCUUGGGGGGCAGAGGCAAGGAGAGAGUGUGCCGGCUGAAAGCCUGCUGUGCUGAAUACAAGCUGGUUGUGGACUUUGACAGAGAUUAUUGGAUUCUGGUGACUCCAGGAACAGAGUUAUUAGUUCCCCUGCCUACGCUGAGCAUUCUGAAUCUGUGCGUGUGAUAACACUUAUUAAUGCUGUUCAGAUCCAAAGGAGCCUAUAGCUUUCUAGCGCUGUGACUACCUUAUCUUACAGAAUCCUUCUGUCCAGCUGUGAAACCACAUUCAGCUCAAUAUCCUGCACCCAGCAUAGCAGGGUCUUGUGGGUCCAGCAGUAGCCUCCUGCUUCUAUGCCCAGAAGACCCGUGUUCAUUCACAGGAGCAGUUCCUUUUAAGUUGCCUUAUGCUUCAGGGUAUGUGCCUGCUGAGGAUUUGCAAGACGUAGGCCUAGAAUCUUUUCUUUUAGGAAGUCCAGUAGCAGUUCCUGUCACCGAAACAGUUAAUCAAAAAGCACCAACUCUCUCCUGGAACGUGUGUGUGCGAGCGCGUGUGUGUGUGUUUUUGUUUUUUAGAGCCAAGAAGAUUUGCUUUGGUUUUUUUAAAGCAGAAACCACCACAAAGUUGGCUGUGGUUUCAGCUGCGCUCGUUCGAGAUUUGUACUGCUGACUACCAAUCCUAAAAGAGUUAACCUAGUAAGGAUGACUCAGAAGCAGAGAAGGAGAUGCGAGGCUCAGAGCCUCGGAGGAAGCAGAGAAACAGAGGUGAGGAACAUAAUAAUUACCAAAAAAAGGUGCAGAGUCCAGGAGCGACGUUCCCCUCGGUUUGCCUGGCCCUGGCACCGCUGGCACGGGCUCCCUGGAAAGCUGCAGUUCCGCUCUUAUAACACAGGGAGCAGGCUGGAGAAUUUAGAGCUGCGUCACAGAGCUCAGCGAGAGAGUGAGAGAGCAAGCUCCGUCGAUAGGUCUUACCAGCAACAGCCCUGCUGCAGCAAGAGGGGAGAGAGGCAGCAAGAGAGGCAGAGAGGGCUCCAAAAAGAGAAGUAACCCCAACACCAGGGACUGGGCUCCUGCCACCAUCCAAUGUCCUUUAAAGAUCGUUUUCGGGCUCGGUUGGCGUAGGAGGCUUCGCCCAUUGACGAUGCUGGAGACCCGGCGCGCUUAAUCCCACGGGGAGGGAGAGUGGGCAGACACCGAAAGGGUUAACGGAAAGGAAAUUUCUGGAACCUUCUAUUCUGCGGCGCUACACAGCGAGCGGAGGGCUGAGGACUGCGCAGAUGGUGCACGGGCAGAGCUCUUCGGUCCGGUUCGUCUUUCUCACGUACGUACCCUUUGAUCAGGAUGGGGCUUGAGCUGCAUCUGCGUAUUUUAAUUAUUUGCAGGGCGUCCCUUUCCCCCGGCGCCCCCAAGUUCAGCUCCCAAAGUGCCUUCCUUAUUAUUUUGGUUGGGUAUGAUUGCUCUGUUCUGCGUCAGAGCUGUUUUCUCAAUGGAACGACGGCACAGGUUGUACUAAUGUCACUCUUGCCGGCAUUGCUGUACUGCAGAGGAGGGUAGUAGUGGUGGGGGAGAGAUGACAACUUUGCAAAGACUGCUGUUUUCAUGUUUUGC